rnacentral:lncRNA from 1 species
AUCACCUCUCUGUUGAAAGAUCAUUAAAUGAGGCAGAUUCAAGAUGAGAGAAAAGGUAUACAUAUCCAUUAAUCUCCAAACCACUAUAACACCUCAAAAUGAUUUCUGGAGCAGCAUAACCCAUAAAAAGACAGAAUGAAUUUUUUUCAGCUGAAAAUAACUUAGAAGCCUGGCACACAACAUCUAUUGCACCAAGGUGGAGGUGGAACACAAAGCAGCACUCCAAGGUGGACCCCACCACAGCAACUGUUAUUGGGGGUACCUGAAUCAGCAGAAAAUUUUCAAGAGCUCCCAGUUAUAAAGGGGAAACUAGCUGGGAUGUUCUUCUGGAUCUCUCCCUCCACCUACUUUCUCUGCCAAAGGGAUGAAUGAAUGCAGUACUCUCUCCCACUUGAGGAGUGACUAUAGAUGGAAGGAAAGGAGAACAUACUUGGUUGCUGCCAACGGGAUGUGAUAGAAGACAGGACACCUAAGUUCUGGUUGCCUCAUCUACUGGAGCAGAUGGGUCUUGAUGGAAAAAUCAAAGUUGGUAUGAUACGAGAGGAAACAAAUCUGACCCCCCAAAUCCAACAUUAUGGAUAGAGCUACCACCUGGGGAAGUAACCUGUGGUAAGUGAAUAAGAAUAAUAUUAACAAGUAGCAUUUAUAUAAUGCUUUAUUGCUGGGAUUGCUGG